CUUGAGCAUUGUAUAUGUUUCCUGGAUGUCCUUGACGGGUACAAACACUGAUGUGGUGGUAGCCAUCCCACAUGGUGUCCAGAGGAAAGCUACGCGCAUUUAUACUGUCUGUUCUGUACAGUUCUCUCAGAUAAUGACAAUAGCUUGGGAUUUUUUUUUUUUUUAAUGUAGAAAAACCCUGUAGAACCAGUGCUUUGGCCACUUUCAUGCUAGCAGAGUGGACCUUGGUCCUCCCUGCUUAGAAAGCUACUUUAGAAGCCAUUGUAGCCACAGUGGAAAGUCAAGGUUUGUGUCUUUUCUACUGAGGUCUCAGAAAGAGAGAGAACAUCUCUCCGGACCCCCUGACUCAGAGCCUCGUGGCCCGGCAUCCCUUAGCCUCUAUAGCAGUGUGCUCAAAAGCCCUGGCUCAACAAAGCACAUCUUCACCACGCUCCAUCCGGACAACUCCAGUCUUGCCAACAAGUGCCAAAUAUCUGAGGAACCCAGGAACCCAGGGGAUCCCUUCCCCCAAGCCCGUCAGUAGCGUCAGCUUGGGGCCUCUCGGGACUCCUGUUGUAGGUGGUCCCAGUCACAAGAAACCCUCUCCAGGCAAGAGGCCAUUCAGUCUGUACAUUGUCGGGACCGGAGAGGUGGGACUGCCAUCUGGGCCUCGGUGGCUUGUUUCCAACCAAAUUAUCUGGGCUUCAGAAGCCAUCCCUUUGCUAUGCUUGACACCAAACUCAGUCACUCCACCUCAGUCAUGACCUGAUAUAAAAGCCGUGCUAGUUUCCCGAGUUCAGACUCUCAGCUUUGGUUUGGUUUUGGUUUUGGUUUUUUGUUCUUCAUACUCAAGUGUCUCCGUUGGUCCAGAUACUUCUCUGUGAAAGUGGCCUCUCUACAGGGUGCCGUUCUGUUUUUUCCCAGUAGUACAAGGCCAGUGUCCUGAGCAAUGGGACCAGUUCUCCACCUGCUCUGACUGCUCAGGAGGCCUGGGUUCCCAUCUACCCUGUCACACUUCACCAGAAGGGAGAAGGUUGUUGCCAGUCACCAGGGAGCUCACUUUCCACUUGGAGACGCUUUGCUCUGCUUGUGCACCGCCAGCUUCUGUCUCCAGAAAAGUGUAACUUUGCUCUGUUUCUGCAUGAAGCACACAUACUCUGGUGUCAACACGCUAAGUAGUUUAAAUGAGGGAAAGGAAAAUGCAGACCACAUCUUGCCUGCCUCGUAAGCGUUUCCUCCCUGAAUUGAAGUACAUAGGCUAAUAUAUUAUUUUGUAGUAUCUCAGACUUUGCAUAAAUACUAUUAUUUUUGUAUGGAAUUUUUUACAGAAGAGCUAUUUCUGUAUAUGUAAUUAUUUGUGUUUUUUGAAAUGCCUUCCGUAGGUAACCGACAGUCUUAAGCAGUGCUCCACUAACGGUCACUCAGGGACCACCUACCCAGAACAGACGGGGAAUUGAAAUUUUUUACUCCCUCUACCCACUCCAGACAGAAGCUCAGGGUGUGUCUAGGAAGCAUUAGUUUUAAAAAGCUGAGUGAUUUUUUUUUUUUCAUCAAUCCACACAUUUUUGUCCAUUGCUGUAAGAGAAGAAAACAUCUGAAAUGAGUAUGUUGAGCUUGAGGAAAAUUGUAUCAUAUAUUCUGUGAUUUGAGAUACAGAAAAAAAUAAAUAAUUU
rnacentral:lncRNA from 1 species